UACGUAGGGUGCAAGCGUUGUCCGGAAUUAUUGGGCGUAAAGAGCUCGUAGGCGGUCUGUCACGUCGGCUGUGAAAUCCCGAGGCUCAACCUCGGGUCUGCAGUCGAUACGGGCAAACUAGAGUAUUGCAGGGGAGACUGGAAUUCCUGGUGUAGCGGUGAAAUGCGCAGAUAUCAGGAGGAACACCGGUGGCGAAGGCGGGUCUCUGGGCCGAUACUGACGCUGAGAAGCGAAAGCGUGGGGAGCGAACAGG
rnacentral:rRNA from 1 species